GACAGAGGGUGCAACCGUUGUUCGGAAUUACUGGGCGUAAAGCGAGUGUAGGCGGUGUGGUAAGUCGGAUGUGAAAGCCCCGGGCUCAACCCGGGAAGUGCACUCGAUACUGCCACGCUAGAGUAUCGGAGAGGUUGGUGGAAUUCUCGGUGUAGAGGUGAAAUUCGUAGAUAUCGAGAGGAACACCGGUGGCGAAGGCGGCCAACUGGACGAAUACUGACGCUGAGACUCGAAAGCGUGGGGAGCAAACAGG
rnacentral:rRNA from 1 species